rnacentral:rRNA from 1 species
UACAGAGGUCCCAAGCGUUGUUCGGAUUCAUUGGGCGUAAAGGGUGCGUAGGCGGCGCGGUAAGUCGGGUGUGAAAUCUCGGGGCUUAACUCCGAAACUGCAUUCGAUACUGCCGUGCUUGAGGACUGGAGAGGAGACUGGAAUUUACGGUGUAGCGGUGAAAUGCGUAGAUAUCGUAAGGAAGACCAGUGGCGAAGGCGAGUCCCUGGACAACUCCUGACACUGAUGCACGAAAGCUAGGGGAGCAAACAGG